UAUGGCAUUUUUAAAUACGGUUUCUAUGCGAGAUUUGUGUAUUCCAUUGAAAUAUAUAAACUCUGAAGUUACAUAUUUUAUCAAAAAUACGUCCGAAAUACCCAAGGAAUUGAACAUUAAAAAAUACAAGAAGGGGGGUACCGGAAGUCCUGUCCUCAAGCACCUGUGGUCUGUGGGGUGGAAUUGUGUUAUUCUAGGGAAAGGAGAGGGUCUGAAAAAAAAAUUAUAAUAAUGGGAAAUUCUGCUCUUAAGUGUAUAGUAGGAAGGGUGUAAAUAGGCCAUUGUUUACCUGCUUCUUAAAGGGAAAGGGAAAUAUGCAGGGUACUGGGGUUACUUGCGGUGUCAUAACAGGACUUGUGUGCGAUGGAUUUUCCUGAGAUUCACAAAUAUUUAUGGACUUGAAUUGCUCUAAGUCUGUGCCAAAUUUCAGGUAAGUUGAGGCCGUGGAAUUUUUAUGCCCCCGAGAUCGAAGAUCGGGGGGCAUAUUGUUUUUGUCCUGUCUGUCAUUAUGUCAUUCUGUCUGAAACUUUAACCUUGCUAAUAACUUUUGAACAGUAAGUGAUAGAGCUUAGGUAUUUCACAUGAGUAUUCCUUGUGACAAGACCUUUCCGUGGGUACCAACAUUUUUGACCCCGUGACCUUGACGUUUGACCUACUUUUUGAAAACUUUAACCUUGCAAAUACCUUUUGAACAGUAAGUGAUAGAGCUUAGAUAUUUCACAUGAGUAUUCCUUGUGACAAGACCUUUCCGUGGGUGCCAACAUUUUUUACCCUUGACCUUGGAAUUUGACCUACUUUUUGAAAACUUUAACCUUGCUAAUACCUUUUGAACAGUAAGAGAUAGAGCUUUGAUAUUUCACAUGAAUAUUCCUUGUUACAAGAUCUUUCCGUUGGUAUUGAACCUUUUGACCUUGACAUUUGGCCUACUUUAAUUUUUUUUUUACAUUGGUCAUAACUUCUAAAUGGUAAAUAUUAGAGCUUUCAUAUUGUACAUGAGCAUUUCUUUUGACAAGAUCUUUCUACUGGUACCAAGAUAUUUGCCCUUGUGACCUUGGCCAUCUUCGGAAUUGGCCAUUAUCGGGGGCAUUUGUGUUUCACAAACACAUCUUGUUUAUAUUAAUUUUUAUGUUAUAAAGGAAUGUAUAGGAAAAUAAUUGGUAGUCUGUGUCCUGCUCUCGCGCGGAAGUGAGCGAAAUGAAAGAGACGUAUCCGGUAGUUAGUAUUUAUCCGGAAUGCUAGUUCGCAAUGGCGGCAAUAAACAAACGAAGCGGAGACGUUGAAGGUAAAACUUCUUUAUUUCUUUCUUACCGUUAUGAUAGACCAGUGAAAAUGAUGAACAACGAUUAAUCGCAUAAAUCCCAUGAAGAAUACAAAACUGAAAGUAGGGCAAACAUAUCUAGAUCCCUGGACAUACCAGAGGUGAGAUCAGAUAAGUAGGGCUAUUCUAUGCGUGAAUGAAAUGCAAAACUGUCUGAACCAAAUUAAUUAGCCUAGUGGUUUCACAAUCCCAUUACAUCGAAAUGAUCAUUGUAUUAUCGUCCAACCUCCAACGUAAAAUCGGAAAGUUUUUAUUCAAUAUUAUUGACAUAUGCUUUAAAUAUAAGACAUUGCUUUGGGGGAGUGGACAUCAACAAGGGGGGUAUAAGGCUAAAGUGUUAAGAUGAGAAUGGUAGGCCCGAGGGAUGUAAUCAAAUUUAUCAGUUAUAGCAUGUAUACCAGAACUAGUAAUCGCACAAUUGGCUGAAAAAAGAGCAAUAUGGACUUGCAUAAUGAUGUGUAUGUUUAAUUUAAUUGUUCAGAAUGCAAAGUUGCAGUAUGUAUUCACAUAUUAGACAUAUAACAGAUAACAUAUCAGAGAUGAAUUAUACUAACUAAUUACUUUUUCUUUCAGUGAAUUUAUACAUUACUUGUUUCUCCUAACUACUACUUUAUGGCAUAAAUUGAAGAUUCAGUCCCUGCCCUGUGUUGAAGAUCUUUUAUCUUGAAAACAACAGAUGCUAGUGCCACACAACCAAAGAAUGUAGUAAACAUACUGCUUCCUUUGCAUGUAUUAGCAAAUUAAGACAGAUCAUGAGAUGGAAACCAAUGGAAUUGAGACGAAAAGGGAGUGCAACUAGAAAUAAUAAGGAAAAACAAGAAAGGCCAUUGUGAAUCAGCAGAUGAUGUUCUAUACAACCAUCCUUCCAUGACACAAGCAAUGGGAAGGAAACAAAGCCUGUCUGAAACUCCAAAAUGACAUUUCCAGAAAGCUGAAGAAUGGAUAAAAAUGUAACUAACAUCUUACAACCCAGAUUUCAUUCCACUGAAAAGAAAAGGGACAGAAAAUUUUGCAUGUCCAUGUCUUGGAAGGUGACUAGGUGCUUGCAGAGGAUACUGGGGAUAAAGAAGCAGAAAAUGAUGAAAAACAGGGAAGUGGCAGACAGGGCUGACAUGAAUGCAAUAAACAAUGAGCUGAGGAGACGGUGAUGAAACUAUAUAGGACACGUGCUAUUGAGUGGAGGUGACAAUGACAGUGAGAUGGCUUUAGGUUGGACACCAGGAGGGAAGAGGGCAUUUAAGAGACCGAAAACAACCUGGAGAGAAACAGUAGAAGUAGAAAGAUUGCAGAACGGAGAAACUGGAAUGAGAUCAAGAUGGUAGCAAUAGAACAGUAGAUUGGAGAGAGUCUCGACCCUGUGUGUUUUGGCAUGGAGAGAACUAAGUAAUGUCUAGAUUGUUGGAGAUAUAUGACCAGGAAUAUGAAUGGAUGUGCUGGAAACUGUACUAAGACCCUUAUGUAUUUGGAUAGAUUUACAUACCAUCAUGAUUUUGCUAUGAAAAACUUUUAAAAAAAUCCUCAACUCAUACUGUAGCUGAAAUUGUACUUAUUGAUAUCUUAAAUGAACAUAUUUUUAGACCUACAAUAUCUAAACAAUGGAGUCCAUGUACAUUUCCACAAUGGAUAAUAGGUUAUGAUAUAUGUGUGAAAUCUGUUCCUAUGGUAUGCGCAUGUUAACACAUUAGUUUAAAUGAUGAUGUAUAUCUUAUGACUAUGGAAGAAAAUGUGUUCAGAACAGAAUAUGUGUCGAGAAGAGUUGUUGCCCUUGAAUGUAAUUCAUUAUUUACAUGGGGUUGAAAAAUAAUCCAUCACACAGUAGUACUAAAUUCCUUAUGUUAAAAUACAUUCAUGAAUGGUAUAAGUGAUACUGUCAAUUACUGAUUAAUACACUUUGUGAAAUCAUAUUAUUGUUCUGUUUAAUAAAUUUCAAGGUUG